ACACGCCCAGUCCGGCAACCGCACGGGAGGUCUCUCCCCCUAGACUGUGCUCCAUGGGGUGGACCCAGGCCUUGUGCUGUUUUUACUUAUAUCCCCCAUGGAGACCAGAGCUAGGCACAGAGUACAGCAGCACCCCAACUUUCAGCCGGUUACCCAUACAUCUCUCAUGUCAUUAAGAACAAUGAAACUAUAGCACACACACAUUCCAGUGGAAAAAAAUAAUUUUCAAAGUUCCCUGGAGUUCGUUGCAGUGGAAUCCAUGGCCCAGGAGGAAGAGGUUUAGUUCAGCCUGGAAGGAGGGCAUCCCAUCUGAGCCGAGACCUCUUUGAGGGUCCUUGUAUGUCACCUGCUGUCUGUCGCUGGUUCGCCUUCUGGCAUCUUUGAUACCUCCCCAGUCAGAGACCUCUGUUUGUGCCAAGAAGUCAUCUGCUGUGUCUUCAAACAAGACCGUAGGAGGCAGAGCCUCUGGUGCUGGCACAUCGCAGAAGCUAAUACCUCGUCACCAACGGAGUGAAGAGACCACGGCUUUCCCCUUUCCUUCCUGUAUUCCAGCUUGCAUGGAUGCCAGCAGAAUUCAAUCUAAAGUGGAAAGAGAAAAGUAAACAAACCUGAGAACUUUCUGGAUCUCUGCA
rnacentral:lncRNA from 1 species